rnacentral:rRNA from 1 species
CUACGGGAGGCAGCAGUGGGGAAUAUUGGACAAUGGGCGAAAGCCUGAUCCAGCCAUGCCGCGUGAGUGAUGAAGGCCCUAGGGUUGUAAAGCUCUUUCACCGGUGAAGAUAAUGACGGUAACCGGAGAAGAAGCCCCGGCUAACUUCGUGCCAGCAGCCGCGGUAAUACGAAGGGGGCUAGCGUUGUUCGGAAUUACUGGGCGUAAAGCGCACGUAGGCGGACUAUUAAGUCAGGGGUGAAAUCCCGGGGCUCAACCCCGGAACUGCCUUUGAUACUGGUAGUCUCGAGUCCGGAAGAGGUGAGUGGAAUUCCGAGUGUAGAGGUGAAAUUCGUAGAUAUUCGGAGGAACACCAGUGGCGAAGGCGGCUCACUGGUCCGGUACUGACGCUGAGGUGCGAAAGCGUGGGGAGCAAACAGGAUUAGAUACCCUAGUAGUCC